rnacentral:rRNA from 1 species
GUUAGUGGCAGACGGGUGAGUAACGCGUGGGAAUGUACCUUUUGGUUCGGAAUAACUUCGGGAAACUGUAGCUAAUACCGAAUGUGCCCGUGAGGGGAAAGAUUUAUCGCCAAAAGAGCAGCCCGCGUUAGAUUAGGUAGUUGGUGGGGUAAAGGCCUACCAAGCCUACGAUCUAUAGCUGGUCUGAGAGGACGACCAGCCACACUGGAACUGAGACACGGUCCAGACUCC